rnacentral:rRNA from 1 species
UGGGGAAUUUUGGACAAUGGGCGAAAGCCUGAUCCAGCAAUGCCGCGUGUGUGAAGAAGGCCUUCGGGUUGUAAAGCACUUUUGUCCGGGAAAGAAAUGGCUCUGGUUAAUACCUGGGGCUCGAUGACGGUACCCGGAAGAAUAAGGACCGGCUAACUACGUGCCAGCAGCCGCGGUAAUACGUAGGGUCCAAGCGUUAAUCGGAAUUACUGGGCGUAAAGCGUGCGCAGGCGGUUGUGCAAGACCCGAUGUGAAAAUCCCCGAGGCUUAACUUGGGAAUUGCAUUGGUGACUGCACGGCUAGAGUGUGUCAGAGGGGGGUAGAAUUCCACGUGUAGCAGUGAAAUGCGUAGAGAUGUGGAGGAAUACCGAUGGCGAAGGCAGCCCCCUGGGAUAACACUGACGCUCAUGCACG